rnacentral:rRNA from 1 species
CCUACGGGAGGCAGCAGUGGGGAAUAUUGCACAAUGGGCGCAAGCCUGAUGCAGCCAUGCCGCGUGUAUGAAGAAGGCCUUCGGGUUGUAAAGUCCUUUCAGCGGGGAGGAAGGUGUUGUUGUGNUUAAUAACNNCAGCAAUUGACGUUACCCGCAGAAGAAGCCCC